GGCUCAGGAUGAACGCUGGCGGCGUGCUUAACACAUGCAAGUCGAACGGUGAAGCCCCGCUUGCGGGGUGGAUCAGUGGCGAACGGGUGAGUAACACGUGAGCAACCUGCCCCUGACUCUGGGAUAAGCGCUGGAAACGGCGUCUAAUACUGGAUACGAACCGCAGCCGCAUGGCUCGUGGUUGGAAAGAUUUUUUGGUUGGGGAUGGGCUCGCGGCCUAUCAGCUUGUUGGUGAGGUAAUGGCUCACCAAGGCGUCGACGGGUAGCCGGCCUGAGAGGGUGACCGGCCACACUGGGACUGAGACACGGCCCAGACUCCUACGGGAGGCAGCAGUGGGGAAUAUUGCACAAUGGGCGAAAGCCUGAUGCAGCAACGCCGCGUGAGGGASGRCGGCCUUCGGGUUGUAAACCUCUUUUAGCAAGGAAGAAGCGAAAGUGAC
rnacentral:rRNA from 1 species